UAUAGGUUAGUGUAAAGGCACGUCAAUAUUUGGAGUUGAAUGAAGUAGUGCAAUUCUACUACCCAUAA
rnacentral:tRNA from 1 species